rnacentral:rRNA from 1 species
UACGGGGGGCAAGCGUUGUUCGGAAUUACUGGGCGUAAAGGGCUCGUAGGCGGCCAACUAAGUCGGACGUGAAAUCCCUCGGCUUAACCGGGGAACUGCGUCCGAUACUGGAUGGCUUGAGGUUGGGAGAGGGAUGCGGAAUUCCAGGUGUAGCGGUGAAAUGCGCAGAUAUCAGGAGGAACACCAAUUGCGAAGGCAGCUCGCUGGGACGUUACUGACGCUGAGACGCGAAAGCGUGGGGAGCAAACAGG